rnacentral:lncRNA from 1 species
AGAGCCUCAGCCCCCUGUUUGCAAGAGCUUGUGAGCUAAAGCGUGCCAGGCCCUGAGUGCGAGGCUGGGAUGAACUGGCAUUCCUGCUGGCUCUGGCCUCUGGGACAGCACCUCCUCCAGCUCACUGCCCUCCACCCUUCCAGCUACAGCUCCCUCCGGUGCCCCAGAACCGCCCGGCACUCCGGGGCUCCCAGGUUCAUCUGGGCAUGACUCCGCCCUCCCGACAGAGCCCUCUGCACACCCCCUCCCCACCCUGGCCCAUCGCAGCUCUUCACGAAGACGCUUCAUGGAAUGGGUGAUUUUCCUAAGCACUUUUCUUUCCAUGAUCUCAUUUGGUCCUCACAGCACCUGGAGGAGGGCAGACAGGCUGUUGCUCCAUUUUACAGAUUUUCCAGACCAGGCUUUCUGAGAGGCUGUUAAUGAGCCAAACCAUUCUGCUAACCGUCGUUUUCAGAAGGGCCACCCGGCUCACGGUUCUCUUUAUUCAGGCAAAGCCAUCAAGACCCCGGACCCGGACCUCUCUGGAUCUGCAUCCUCCCCCUAGUAAAAUGGGAGACACACCGCUAUCCAGACAACUGGGAUUCCUGGACCAGACUUUUCUUUUGAGCUCCUGGCAGCCUCCAGUCAGCUUUCUGUCUCUAUGGACUGGCCUGUCCUAGACAUUCCUUAUCAAUGGAGUCACACAGUAUGUGGUCAUUUCGUCUGGCUUCUUUCACUUAGCACCAUGGCAUCAGGGUUCAUCCACAUUGUAUAACCUGGAUCGG